rnacentral:sRNA from 1 species
ACUCAACGUUAAUUCUUUAAAAAGGGUGAGUUUAAGUUGUAAAAGCGAGCUGCCUAGAGCAGAUACUUGAUCAGCUUGUUAGCCCUAAACUUGUUUUUAAGGAGUUU